GCCUCCCAUCCGCCGUAAACGAGGUGGUGACCGUGACCUUGACACGUCAGAGGCCCUUUCUUAGGUUUAGCUUUCUGUUUUAGGAUUCAGGAAAUCCAGAAGCCCGCCUGGUUGCGCUCUCUGUGUCUCUCGUGCUGGGCAGGCAGUGGCUGAACGGUCAACUCUCCACCUCCCUUCAGAUACAGACGCACAUCGCUGGCCAACAGUCAGUUCCAUUUCUGUAACAAUUAAUGCAGUAUUGUCAUGACCCCUCCUGAGAGAGUGCUUUGUACUUCUGUUGAACUGCCAAACCAGCAUAUGAUGCAUGAAAUGAACACAUUCUCGAUGAAGGCAUUGCACAUCUUAAGCAUUGUGCUGUCAAAUUAAACUAUUUUUUUAAGGAAAUAAA